UUCUAUCGGUCGAGUCAGUCGAUGCCCUAGCUCCAUCGCCGUCUUCUCAGCUCCGUCGCGAUCCGUGGCUUCCCCGCUGCCGUCUUCCUCCUCCUUCUCCUCCUCCUCCUCCUCCUCCUUCUCGUCCUCCUCCUCUUCUUUGUUUUCAGGGCUUGCAAACUGAUCUCACCUCCAUCCGUAGCCUCGAUCGGCGAUCGAAGAUUCCGCUUCUCCGCCGCCGUCGACCUCGCCGUCGUCUGAGCUGCGCGCCGACAUCAAACCUCCAUCCCGAGCCCUAGCUAGUCGGCGGUCGUCUGAGGAAUUCCUUGGGAACUGGAGGGCUGUGCCUACUAGUACUGGUAAUUAAGCUCCUCUAACCUCUCUAUCACGCCCUUCUGCGUCCCCUUUUGACAGGAUGGCCUCUCAUCAUAUCCAAAAUGAGUUAGCUAUUUGCUGAGGCUUUAUGUAGUUUUGGAUCACCAAAAAGGGUGGCCUUCCGUGAACUGGGCUGAUGAGAUGCAACAAGAGCUGUAGGCUAAGAUGGAUCAAGCGAGGCAACUUCACAGAACAAGAGGAGAAGCUCAUAAUCCAUCUCCAAGCUCUUCUUGGCAAUAGAAUGGGAUCCGUGGGGUGUUCCAGAUGAUUACGAAUGUGAAGUCAUUGAGGACGAUACUCCAAUUCCGAAACAUGUUCCUCAACACCGACUUGCUCCACUUCCAGAAGAGUUCUACAAGACGCUGGAGGCGGUAAUGUCGAAACCUGCUCCAAAGGAUGAACCUUCCACUCAAUCGAAGGCUUAAAAUUAUGGUGUUGUUUGGCUUGAACAAAUUUUCAUAUUUGGAGCUAUUGUCAUGCCUCUUGGUUGCUGGCUUGCUGCUGUGGCUUUUAUGUCAAUGUUUGUCAUGGAUAAACUGGCUUCCUCUUAUGAGAAAAAUAAUGAUAAGAAAUACCUGCUGCUGAUGUAUCUUUAACUGAUGAACCUUCAUUGCCUUAAAUUUUUAUUGCCAUGGGUUGAAAAUUUAUGCA